rfam:Lingula anatina scaffold136, whole genome shotgun sequence.
AGGAGUAUAGUUUAAUGGUAGAACAAUGGUCUUCAAAACCAUAUGUGCGGGUUCAAUUCCUGCUACUCCUG